GUAACCUCUUCCAAGGUAACAACUAAAAGCCCAUAGAUAUAUGUCUUGUUGUUGAUGUUACGUUUGUGCCAUAACCAUACGUACAGAUUAUGGUCAAUCCACAAGGCAUUAGCAGAGGAUUUAGUUUCGUUGCUUAUUACAAUCCUGAAGAAGCUUCAAGAGCCCUGAAUGAAGCUUAAGGGAAGAUGAUAGGAAAGAAACCACUUUACAUAGCUUAAUUUUGCGCAGCGCAAAGAAGAUAGACAAGCACACUUGCGCUGGUUUCACAGGUUAUAGAGCACCAGGGUCAGUGCCAUCUCCAGUGACGGGGGUUCCAUCACCCGCCAGGUGAACCAAUGCCUGGUCCACCUCAUCACAGACCAAACCUGGUCCCGUCCCAGACCAUUGGAUAUG